rnacentral:lncRNA from 1 species
GGAUUACAGGCAUGAGCCACCGCGCCCGGCCGAAGUGUCAACUUUCAAACUCACUUGGACUCUUCUAAGAAUCCAGUUUUUUGCACUUGUGUUAGGGGGCUGUCGUUAACUCCCAGUGGCCGCUGAGGUCCUUGCCUGUGGAUUCCUGCUUCUCAAAGCCAGCAAGGGCGUGUCAAAUCUGCUCAUGCUUGGAAUCUCUCUGACUUUUCCUUGGGUCACAUAUCUCUUGCUUCACCCUCUGCCACACUUUUUUUUUUCCUGAAAGCCAAAAAGAUUCUUUGCUUUAAGGGGUGAUGUAUUUAGAUUGAGAGCCCACCUGGAUAGUGGGUCCUCUCCCCUCCCGUUUUAGAUUCUCAGGCAGUUCUUUAUAGCAGUGUGAAAACGGACUAAUACACAGUGCUUUGUGCUUGGAAAACGGCAUGAAGGAGAUGGAGGUAAUGUGCGAUGACUGAGAGAAUUUGUAGAACAGCAAAAACCACUGAAAUGCCAUUCUUCAAUAGAGGCACCAGAUCUCCAGGUGUGCCUAAAGAAUCUUGGGGAUGUGUCUUCUGAAGCUAAAGAGACCCCUAAGCAUCCUGCAAAAUACCAGUGCACAACAAUUUGGGACAUAGCUUAAGCUUUCUGCUCGAUGCUGGCGACAAAGAGGAGAAAGACAACUUCUACUCUCAGACAACUUAGUCUGCUUUAGGAGUUACAAACACAGACAAUUUCAACACUGGAUGAAAAUGAUGGGACAAAGGUAAAAGGAGAGAGGAAUGCAUCUCAGCUGAGUUUCAGAAAAAAAAAAAGUUUUGAAGAGAUCUCAAUGUUAGGAAGCCAACAAGGCCUGCAAAAGUCACCUAGAUCAUGAAAUUGACUAUGUCAGGGGAGGCAAUUCGUCACAAUCGUGUUUGAAAAUGAGGAUAAGCAUGGAGAGCCAAUGAUUACAUUUCACAAUGUCCUUCAUGGGUAUGUGAAUAUGAUAGUAGGAAUCUUAGCUCUUCACUUAAAGAAAGAAGCAUUAAAAUUUGGAAUUUUAGAGAGUGAGAUGAUAAAAAGAUACGUGGUAUGGUAUUACCACCUUCUUGGAAUUUCUGAAAAACCAUGUUCAGGACCCAGACAUAGAUAACUGACUCCUUCAUUUGAAUUUUAGGUAGGUACUACCUGUGUUAUUGUGUUUAGUUUCUGAGAUAAAUUGAUAAGCAUUCAGAAGUGCCUGGUGAUAUGAGUUGACUUCUAUAAAAAAUGUGAUGCUUGAGGUAAUCAUGUUUUCUGUUUUGUCCCAUGAAAGUAACAGAAUUUCUAGAAAAUUAAUUUGUUAUUAUGUCUCAACCUUAAUCAGUUGUUGAAGAAAAAAAUAGCUAUUUUAGAUUAAUUUGAUAGAUUCAAAAAUCCUAGGGUGCUAAAAUGACUCAAAUUAUGGUAUUCAAAUAGGAAUAUUUUUAACUGCAUGUCAAUUGCACACUUGCAUGUUAAUUCUUUAGUAUUAAUGAAGCUAAUAUUUACUGAAAGACUAAUAUAUGCGGAUAUUUUAAAUACAUUGUCCCAGUUAAUCCCCAAAAUAAACAACACUCAGAGAUAGCUCAGAAAUUGGGCUUGAAGUAUUUAAAUGCUUGGUUAUGUGGUCACUUGAGUAGUGAGCACAGAUCCAUUAGAGAAGCAGGUAGUAUUAUUUACAUUUGGUAAAUGAGGGAAUUAAGGUUGAGAGAGUGUAAAUACCUGGCUCAAAGUCACAUUACUGGAAUACACAAGUGCCGGAAUCAAGAUUCAAAUAAAAUUUGCUUUAAGCCUCAAUACCCACACUGUAUCUGCAUUCUUAGAAAACAGUAUGGUGCUUCACAUCCUUUAAAGACACUGGAGAAUUUGACAUCUUAAUGAUUAAUUUCUUCUUUAUAAAGUGCACAUGUAAAAAUAUAGAUAGCUGUUAAAUAUUAAUAUUUCUUGUACUGCUUAAUGUUUGUUCCCUCUGUAGUCAUACUUUUCAUAUAGAACUGUUGACAAUGUAAUUUUUAUAGUAUGUAACUUUUCAUAUGUUCUAUAUAUUCUUGUACUGCCAUUAUUUGAUUUAGUCAUUUUGGAUUAAAGAAAAGUAAUUCUUUUCUAGAAUUAAAACGUGUCUUUUCAUUCCUACCUCCCUUCUUCCUUC